rnacentral:rRNA from 1 species
AACGAACGCUGGCGGCAUGCCUAACACAUGCAAGUCGAACGAGCCCUUCGGGUCUAGUGGCGCCCGGCUUCGUAACGCGUGGGAACCUGCACUUAGGUUCGGCAUAACUCCCCGAAAGGGGUGCUAAUGCCGGAUAGUGUCUUCGACCCAAAGAUUUAUUGACUUUGGUUGGGCCCGCGUUGGAUUCGCUAGUUGGUACGGUAAUAGCAUAUUCCGGGGACGAUUCGUAGCUGGGUAGUGAGGAUGAUCAGCGACACUGGGACUGAGACGCGGCCCAGAAUCCUACGGGAGGCAGGAGAGGGGAACAUUGGAAAAUGGGCGAAAGCAUGAUCGAGCAAGGCUGGGUGAGUGAUGAAGGCCGGAGGGUUGUAAAGCUCUUGUAACCGGGAUGAUAAUGACAGUACCGGGAGAAUAAGCUCCGGCUAACUACGUG